rnacentral:rRNA from 1 species
AGUGAACGCUGGCGGUAGGCCUAACACAUGCAAGUCGAACGGCAGCACAGUAAGUGCUUGCUCUUACGGGUGGCGAGUGGGGGACGGGUGCGGAAUACAUCGGAAUCUACUUUGUCGUGGGGGCUAACGUAGGGAAACUUACUCUAAUACCGCAUAUGACCUACGGGUGAAAGCAGGGGAUCUUCGGACUUUGCGGGAUGGAAUGAGCCGAUUUCGGAUUAGCUAGUUGGCGGGGUAAAGGCCAACCAAGGCGACGAUCGGUAGCUGGUCUGAGAGGGUGAUCAGCCACCCUGGCGCUGAGACACGGUCCAGACACCUGCGCGAGGCCACAGUGGGGAAUAUUAGACGAUGGGGCAAAGCCGGAUCCAGCCAUACCGCGUGGGUGAAGAAGGACUUCGGCUUCUAAAGCCAUUUUGUUGGGAGAGAAAUGCAGCAGGUUAAUACCCCGCUGUUCUGACGGUACCCAAAGAAUAAGCACCGGCUAACUUCGUG